UCCAGGGUAGCCUAGUGGUCAUGGCAUCUGCCCGGUAAGCGGAAGGUCGUGGGUUCGAUUCCCAUCCCUUGAAG